rnacentral:rRNA from 1 species
UACGUAGGGUGCAAGCGUUGUCCGGAAUUAUUGGGCGUAAAGAGCUCGUAGGCGGUCUGUCGCGUCGGCUGUGAAAUCCCGAGGCUCAACCUCGGGUCUGCAGUCGAUACGGGCAAACUAGAGUAUUGCAGGGGAGACUGGAAUUCCUGGUGUAGCGGUGAAAUGCGCAGAUAUCAGGAGGAACACCGGUGGCGAAGGCGGGUCUCUGGGCAAUAACUGACGCUGAGGAGCGAAAGUGUGGGGAGCGAACAGG